rnacentral:rRNA from 1 species
UGGGGAAUAUUGGACAAUGGACCAAAAGUCUGAUCCAGCAAUUCUGUGUGCACGAUGACGUUUUUCGGAAUGUAAAGUGCUUUCAGUUGGGAAGAAAAAAAUGACGGUACCAACAGAAGAAGUGACGGCUAAAUACGUGCCAGCAGCCGCGGUAAUACGUAUGUCACAAGCGUUAUCCGGAUUUAUUGGGCGUAAAGCGCGUCUAGGUGGUUAUGUAAGUCUGAUGUGAAAACGCAGGGCUCAACUCUGUAUUGCGUUGGAAACUGCAUGACUAGAGUACUGGAGAGGUAAGCGGAACUACAAGUGUAGAGGUGAAAUUCGUAGAUAUUUGUAGGAAUGCCGAUGGGGAAGCCAGCUUACUGGACAGAUACUGACGCUAAAGCGCGAAAGCGUGGGUAGCAAACAGGAUUAGAUACCCUGGUAGUCCACGCCGUAAACGAUGAUUACUAGGUGUUGGGGGUCGAACCUCAGCGCCCAAGCUAACGCGAUAAGUAAUCCGCCUGGGGAGUACGUACGCAAGUAUG